GUGCUUGCUUCAACAUCUUAUAUACUGAAAUUGGAAUUAGAGGGAAGAUGAGCCUGGCCUCUUUACAAGCAUGACAUAUGAAUUUGUGAAGCAUUUUGUAUAUUU
ensembl:snRNA U6 U6 spliceosomal RNA